UACGUAGGGCGCAAGCGUUUGUCCGGAAUUAUUGGGCGUAAAGAGCUCGUAGGUGGCUGGUCGCGUCUGCCGUGAAAGCCCCGCAGCUUAACUGCGGGUCUGCGGUGGAUACGGGCCGGCUAGAGGUAGGUAGGGGCAAGUGGAAUUCCUGGUGUAGCGGUGAAAUGCGCAGAUAUCAGGAGGAACACCGGUGGCGAAGGCGGCUGCUGGGCCUUACCUGACGCUGAGAGCGAAAGCGUGGGGAGCAAACAGG
rnacentral:rRNA from 1 species